rnacentral:rRNA from 1 species
GACGAACGCUGGCGGCGUGCCUAAUACAUGCAAGUUGAGCGAUGAAGAUUGGUGCUUGCACAAAUUUGAAGAGCAGCGAACGGGUGAGUAACGCGUGGGGAAUCUGCCUUUGAGCGGGGGACAACAUUUGGAAACGAAUGCUAAUACCGCAUAACAACUUUAAACAUAAGUUUUAAGUUUGAAAGAUGCAAUUGCAUCACUCAAAGAUGAUCCCGCGUUGUAUUAGCUAGUUGGUGAGGUAAAGGCUCACCAAGGCGAUGAUACAUAGCCGACCUGAGAGGGUGAUCGGCCACAUUGGGACUGAGACACGGCCCAAACUCCUACGGGAGGCAGCAGUAGGGAAUCUUCGGCAAUGGACGAAAGUCUGACCGAGCAACGCCGCGUGAGUGAAGAAGGUUUUCGGAUCGUAAAACUCUGUUGGUAGAGAAGAACGUUGGUGAGAGUGGAAAGCUCAUCAAGUGACGGUAACUACCCAGAAAGGGACGGCUAACUACGUGCCAGCAGCCGCGGUAAUACGUAGGUCCCGAGCGUUGUCCGGAUUUAAUGGGCGUAAAGCGAGCGCAGGUGGUUUAUUAAGUCUGGUGUAAAAGGCUGUGGCUCAACCAUUGUAUGCAUUGGAAACUGGUAGACUUGAGUGCAGGAGAGGAGAGUGGAAUUCCAUGUGUAGCGGUGAAAUGCGUAGAUAUAUGGAGGAACACCGGUGGCGAAAGCGGCUCUCUGGCCUGUAACUGACACUGAGGCUCGAAAGCGUGGGGAGCAAACAGGA